UACCAGCACCCCGAGUGGUCGGGACGUUUUAUUGGGCCUAAAGCAUCCGUAGCCGGUUCUACAAGUCUUCCGUUAAAUCCACCUGCUUAACAGAUGGGCUGCGGAAGAUACUAUGGAGCUAGGAGGCGGGAGAGGCAAGCGGUACUCGAUGGGUAGGGGUAAAAUCCGUUGAUCCAUUGAAGACCACCGGUGGCGAAGGCGG
rnacentral:rRNA from 1 species